rnacentral:tRNA from 1 species
GCACCCGUAGCUCAGCUGGAUAGAGCAACGGACUUCUAAUCCGUAGGUCGGUGGUUCGAAUCCACCCGGGUGCG